AUGGAGGGAAGGCACAGAAGUAAGGCGUGGAGCACCAUUUGGAAGCAAGUCACUAUGCAUAAUUCACAAUUGAGUAAUAAAGAUUUAUGCUUCACCUCUUUGAAGGUAGAGUAUCUACAUAUAUCAUUUGACAUUCUUCUCUAUUUAUUCACUCAGUCAUUUAUUCAUAUCAAUACGGAUUCAUGGAUAAUAACAUGGUAGUUUAUACUUUGGCUUAUAAUACAAUACCACUUUUUAUUUUAUUGUUCAGACGGUUCCAGCUUUGGACAAUGGGAGCUCUUUCAGGUGACUCUUAGUCUCUUUGACAUAAUAUGUCAUUGUGUUUAGUAUGUUUGUUUCACUUUUUAAACUUUUCUUCAUUUUCAAACACUAUAAGAUGCUAAAAACUCAUCUUGCAUAUUAACUGUCCAAAUCUUAGAAUUAGGUAUUUCUCUAAGAAGCCCUGAUUCCUUUUGUUGGUAGUGUGAGUCUUCCAACUUUGUUCUUCUCCAUUAUUAGGUUGACUAUUUAUUUUAGGUCUUGUAUUU
rnacentral:lncRNA from 1 species